rnacentral:rRNA from 1 species
GAUGAACGCUGGCGGCGUGCCUAAUACAUGCAAGUCGAGCGAACGGACGAGAAGCUUGCUUCUCUGAUGUUAGCGGCGGACGGGUGAGUAACACGUGGAUAACCUACCUAUAAGACUGGGAUAACUUCGGGAAACCGGAGCUAAUACCGGAUAAUAUUUUGAACCGCAUGGUUCAAAAGUUAAAGACGGUCUUGCUGUCACUUAUAGAUGGAUCCGCGCUGCAUUAGCUAGUUGGUAAGGUAACGGCUUACCAAGGCAACGAUGCAUAGCCGACCUGAGAGGAUGAUCGGCCACACUGGAACUGAGACACGGUCCAGACUCCUACGGGAGGCAGCAGUAGGGAAUCUUCCACAAUGGGCGAAAGCCUGACGGAGCAACACCGCGUGAGUGAUGAAGGUCUUCGGAUCGUAAAGCUCUGUUAUUAGGGAAGAACAUAUGUGGAAGUAACUGUGCACAUCUUGACGGUACCUAAUCAGAAAGCCACGGCUAACUACGUG